UACGGGGGGAGCAAGCGUUGUUCGGAUUUACUGGGCGUAAAGGGCGCGUAGGCGGUCAGUGCAAGUCAGUUGUGAAAUCUCCGGGCUUAACUCGGAACGGUCAACUGAUACUGCUCGACUAGAGUGCGGAAGGGGCAACUGGAAUUCUUGGUGUAGCGGUGAAAUGCGUAGAUAUCAAGAGGAACACCUGCGGCGAAGGCAGCCCCCUGGGUCAAGAUUGACGCUCAUGCACGAAAGCGUGGGG
rnacentral:rRNA from 1 species